GAUGGGAUUUCCUAAUUGCUCUUCUGGGAAGAGGCAACACUGAUUCCUGGGGUGUCUGAGACCCCUCCUGCUGCUGAGCUGGAACCCAGCACUGAGCUCUGAGAAGCAACAAGAUUCCUCUUUUGAGCAAGUAUAGGAUAGAAAUUUAAAAGGACAAACCUGAAUGAUAACUAACGUUCUGGGGUUUCCUCCCACCUUGCACACUCUGAGAGGUGCCCGUGACAGAGGUGUAGCCCAGGAGUCCUGACCUUGCUGUGUGACCUUGCACGUACCCUGCCCUCACUGGGGUAUGGUGAGUUCAGCUGUGAGUGCAGGCUGUGAGCUGAUAAUUCAUGGCUAAAGUAUUUGCUUCCAGCACCUUUAUUUUGUGGCACCGAGAGCUACAAGGGCAGAAGGAAGCCAAGCCUGUUCCUGGAGGACUCGAAGGUGUUUGCUCUUUAUCCCUGCGGAAGAGCUUAAGGAGGGAUUGUCUCGGGUUCUGUCUGCACACAAUUAGGGCUGACUCAGAGGUGGGCGAACGUGCCAUGUGUUAAAAUAAGAGUUGGCGGUUCUGAGAAGGGAAGUCCAGGAGCCAGCCAGGAUGGGAUUAGCGGUUGAUAAGGCAGAGGCCGAUGGGGGAGGUGUGCUGAGGAGGCCGGCGCCACUGUGGGAACCAGCUGUGGUGAAGACUCGGUUCUUCGGAAGUCAUGAGGUAGAAGCCCGAGUGGCGGAAGAGGACAUCUUUCCUCUCACUCGUGGGGGGCUGUGAGGGCCUCUCCGAGGCUGGGAAGGAGCCAGAGGACAAGAAACUCAGGGGUUCUUGGUGGAGCCGGAAGGGCCCAAAUUUCAUUUCCAGGAAGGUGGCAGUGAGGACAGUGGACUUUGGAGACUCUCUCACAGGCCCUGCAACUUAUGAUCAUCUAGAGAUAGAUUGGCAUACAGCUAUUCGGAGACCCUGCCCAGACUGCCUGAGGUUCAUCCAUGGGUCCUGUGGGUGUGGCCAGGCCCUUGGGAGCAAUGAGGAGCCCCCCACUUCCUCAGCAGCUGUGAGGAGGUGGUUUUUGCUCCUCAAAGAAGUAAACUACAGGAACAAGGGAGCUAUGGAAGCCCGGAGGUUGGAUAGAACCAGGAGUGGAAGGUAAGGGUCAAGGAAACUUCCAGAAGCUAAGGCUUGUGAUGGGUAGAGUCCAGGGCAGUGCUGGCAGGGAAGUGUCACAGGCUUGGUCUGAAGGUCCUAGUACUGAAGAAAGGAACUUAGCCCAUCCCUUUAAAUUACAGAAGUACACAGGUUUGUCACUCCAGUCUCAGAAAAAGAAUUUUCAGACACAUCAGUUAAAAAAGGUAUGAGAAAGGUUUAUUAGAAGUAGAUAUAGAAGAUGCUUAAGGAAAUGAGGUUCGAUACAGUCGGGGUAGGACACACAUUUCAUUUAAAGCCUCUUACCAUGAUGGGUGAUCUCAGAUGUGUCUUCCCACUGUCUGCCAGUUACAGAAGUGGGUUAGGAGUGGCGAUCCCUGUUAGACAUGCCGUCUCUGCUGCGUUCUGGGCUGGAGGAAGCUCAAGGAAGAGGCAGUUUGCGGUGAAAGGGACUUGCCCAGGUUUGCAGUUUGGGGAGUAAGUAAACCGGGCUUGUAUUCUGAAGCUGCAGUUUUCCUUUACAAGUACAAUUUUAAAUUCUUCAUUUCCUGGUCUCCUUUCUACCUAGUUUUAUUUCUUCUAUCCUACGGAAGGGGAAUCCAAUUUGGGACAAACCAUAUAUCCAUAUUCAUAAGCUGUACUUUGUCCUCGUGAAGAAUAGUUUGGAUUUAUAUGAAUUAGAAUUUCCCAUAAAGAUGAUUUAUGAUCUGAUUGCUAUCAAUGGAUAUAGCAAAACGAUCUGACUUCUUUACGAGGCCAUUUUUGCACAAGAUAACUUCAGAGAGAGAGAGAGAGAGACAGAGAGACAGAGCGAGGUUUAAGAACAAUAUAUUUCUCAUAGCCAGAAGAGAAAUUUCCUGCCUAGAAAGAAACCCUAAAGGAAAGUUCUAGAAGGGUGUAUGUGUGUAAACCUGGAUCCCACCCUAGACCUCUGACAUCAGACUCUCUGAGGGUAGGAUGUAACUGCCCUCCCCAAGUGACUCCCAUGAGCGUCCACGGUGUUAAAUCACUGGCCUAGUGACAGAUAAUAGCCCACCCCACUUCUCCAUGAGAGGCACUAGAAUAUUUGGAGAUUGCUGACAGAAACCACCACGGUGGAAACUACUUUGUUUCCUGGGCCUGGGCUCUGGGAGCUGGCAUCAAAGAGCCUCAUGGCCCAGAGCAGUUCUGUGGCUACCCCUGUCUGUGUCAGAGGAGCCACACAGCAUCUUAGUAAGGCCAGCUCUACUGAUUCUACCUCCACGUGGUAUUCAUAAAGAAGGAAGUGGUGCUCACAGACUGUCUUGGUUUUCUGGAACCUUCUCCAUUUUACCCCUGACUGCCUUGCGUGCCAGGAAACUCCUCAGUCCCGGGGAAGCUGGGCCCCUGGUCACAGCGCACAGCAGCUCACUGAGGCCGUGUGCAUGUGGGGAAAGGCCCCGAACCAAGGAGCAGAGAAGCCCCACUGACUGCCUUCAGCAUCCAGUUCUGCCGCACUCCCGUGGCCUUUGGGGGUGUCUUUCCCAGGGUGUCCUGCAUGGUUCCUGGCACUGGGCUCUGUCCACUCCUGGAGAAUGAUGUCUUUUCUCACACCCACACAUGCAUAUUCACAAGGAAAAAAAAAAUCAGGUAUUGUUCAAACUUAUUGCAGGUUAUAUUCCAGGAAAAGGUGGUGUACGUGAAAAAGAUAAAAAUUGGUUCAAUUUUCCCACAGAAACAAUACCAUGACGAGAAAAACCGAGUAAGGGAAAGAGUUCUGUAAGAAAUUAGUUUUGGGCAGGAAAAAUUUUUUUAAAAUUUCUUUAAUUAUUUCUUCUUUAAUUAAUCCCUGAGAAACCAGACCCCAAGUGCGAUUAACAGGAAGUUAAAUACCCUUCUUCUUGGGGCUGUCAGAUCUGUUAAAGGGCAUACACACCAAAGGAAAAGGUCCCAUCAGUCACUAGGUGCCCGCGAUUUUUCUGGAAGCAUCCUCUAAGGGAGAGGCUAUGCAAGUGACAGUGGUGGUUCUCAGCUUGGGCAUGCACUGCAGCCUGGAUCCCAUCCCUAGAGAUGCGCUCAUGGCUUGGACAUGGCUUGGACAUCAGGAUUUUUUUUUCACAUUUAACCAGGAUAAUUUUAUUAUUUGUUUAUAUAUCCAUUCAUCUAUUCAU